AUAAAACUUCUACCUAAAAGCGCUUUUACUUUGACCAAAAAAUUUUCAGAAAAAAGAAGAAGAUGUUUUUGGCCUCUAAAAAAUUGGCCGAACAGGCUCUUUAUCUGGAUAAAAACUUGUUAUUUGGCUAUAAUCUACUACCAUUUCUUCAUAAAAUAGAAUUUGUUUCAAAUUAAACCCCCCAAAUUAUCAGAUCUUUCAUUCGAUCGAAAAGUUAUAUAAUCUUAAAAAAUUUACCGUCUUUACUUUGCACAUGGACAUUAGUAUUGAAACGGCAACCUGGACCUCACAGUUCUCAACUGUAACCUUAAAUCGCCAUCUCUUUUUUCUCUCUCUAUACUUCCACAUUAGUAGUAUUACUGUAUUAGAUAUACGAACUGCUAUCUCAUGGACGAAAUUGUGACCUCUUUAUUGCUUAACUAUUUUGUGACUUGGUGUCUCCUUCACGUAAGCUUAUGUCUUGGUAGUCUAGUAGCGGUUAAUUUGAGAUAUUGUUGCUCCCACAUAAUAUGUGUCUUGCAAUUGAUGCGCUUAGGUGUUUGAUCAUUGAUGAAAUUAGAAAGCGGCAUUCGACAUGUCACUCUUGGCCUCUGCUAGUCUGUAACAUAUGAAAACAUUGUUUGGUGUGAGCUCUUUGUGGAGAUUGGUGCUAUUAGUGCAAUUUGUACCUUAUUAAAUACUUGGAAUUGUAGGGACCCAAUUGUCAAGGUAUCUUUUGAGGCAUCCACUAUUCAAUAUUAUCCAAACUUUUUAACAAAAAAUAUCUUCUGGAAGAGAACUCAAUGUUUACCUACCAAACUUUCAUUAUGAACUGCUAUUUCUACUAUACCUGACCAUAUUUAUGAAGCCAUAAGUUGAGCUUUCUAAUUUCCAUAUCUUAGUUCAUGCCUUUUCUUGAAAGUAAGAUGGAGUUAUUGGCUAUAAGUACAAUAUCAACUGCUUUUUCAUCACCUAAUGAUGCAUACCUAACUGGAUAUGGUGAUGAAUUUCGUGCUUAUGAAGAUGGACAAAUAUUUGAUAUCACACAUCAGUUCAAUCCUAAUACUCCUAUUGGGGAUUCUAAUAAAGGAGUUGGACAAUUCACACUCUUUUGUCGAGCGUGAAGAAUAGCUGCAACUACAACUUUCCGGAAUUGAGAUUAGGUGUUCAUGCGGGCACUCAUGUUAAUGCAUCAAGACGGCAGGACAUAUGUAUGAAGAUUAUUAUGAUGCAGGGUUUGUUGUUGAUUCACUUGACCAUAGAUUUUUUUAUGGUAUUAACCCAGGAAAUUCUACCUUUUGAUGACAUUAAAAACUUCUAGUUAUAUGAUAAAUCUUAUGCUUAUUUUUAACUUCGUGUGGCUCUGAUUAACUCUACAUCGCAGUUUAAAACACGGUAGUGACCCUGAGUUUUACUUUAUCUUCAAACUAAUGGCAUAUUGGUGAAAAAGUUAGUAGUGCCGGUUUUUUUUGUUGUCUUUAAGCAGAUUAUUUUCUCUAAGAUUACUAAGUUUUCCUUUCCCUAUCUUCUAACUUUUCUCUUUUUUGAUGAAAAUUACUUGUAGUUGUUUCCCACUUGAAACUCGUCAUGUGAGAAUUCACAAUUUAAAGAACAUCUUAGCAUGAGAAACUUAAGUGUCCCAUAUUAUCAGUACGGAGUAGAUGCGGCUCUGUGUUUGUUAUAGUUUAUGGAGAUCAUGAAAAGCCACCACUGAUAACUUAGCCAGAUUUAGCUCUAAAUCAUAAGUGAGAGUUUGUAUUCUUAUGUUCCAUAUCUCCAUUUUCAGGAUUCUAUUCAUGUGCUCUAAGGUGCUUAUGAUGUUGCUUGAUUUUUGUUGCUCAUAUGCAGGCUUUAGAUGUUUUGCUUUCAAACAUGCCUUUUGCAGAUAUAUCAUGUUUCCAAGGAUUGUUCUUCUGUUCGGAAGCAUCUUCAUUGUUGCUCCAUAACUUUUGCAUUUACCACAUAAGUCCUCUGAGGCACGAGGUCUGUGAAUUGGCCAGUUUGCUUCCUUUUAUGUAAUCUUAUCGGGGUUUUGGGUCUUUGUCUACGUUUGAUUAGAAUCGAUUCAACUUAUCUCCACUACUCAGAUUGUGCUCUCUGAUUUCCACAAUAGUCCUUGCGGUUGGGAGCUGCGGCAAUUUUUCAUAGGACCUUGUUCAUUAGUGGAUGAUUUGGCAGAUCAGAUAGUUGAGGUUCUAAACUAUGUUAGGCACUGUCUUCUUCUUAAACACAACAUAACAGCGACUGGUGAACAUUUGCAGCUUAAACUUGGCAUGACAACAUAACAAGGUUGGUGCAUUUACACACCUGUAUUUUUUAAAACAGAAGAAAAAAUCAGCCGGCCUUUGGAUAAUAUUAUCAUCUAAUAAAAUUAGCAUGACUUACUUUUAAGCUCUAGUUUCAAUAAGGUGUAAAUAGUUUUACUCCAUUAGCUAGUUGUUUUAGUAUAAUAUAAGGGCAUGUCACGUCUGAAUACAAAAUACAAUUGUACCUUUUGGAAUCCGAUUUGUCCUAAAAUAUCAUUUGACUCUCUUUGUAUUAUGAAUAUCAUGUCUUGGUUCUCCCGAAUUAUUUGUAAGACAUGUCUGCUUAUUUUACUCAAGUGUUCUGAUCACUCCCAUUAUUCAUAUGACCCUUUAUGCUGAAAACAUUCUUAUGUAUAACUCAAAUCUAUUCAAGUUGAUUAGGUAGAUUUUCUCCUUUAAAAGAGUACUUCUCGUGAAAAGUUUUAUCCUCACUCUUGUGAACACUUGAGAAGUUCUCUAAACUUCUCCUAACGAAGCAUUUAUUACUAUAAGUCCCAUAAUGUUAGGUUGUUGUUAAUAGUCUAAUGAAGUUAUAACCAACAAGGCCACCGCCCAAUAUUUAUUUUUGUUUCCUUUGAUACAUAAUAAGAGUAGAAAUGCUAUUCGGGUAAGUAUCCUUAAGAGCUUAAUCUUUGUUGGUCUUUUUUUUAUGGAUACAAUAAAUAUCUUGACUAUUUUUUCUUUAUUGUUAGAGGGUUCCAAGAAAGGUUUUAUGGAGAUGCUUGGAGGCUAGAGGUGUACCUGUAGCAUACAUUAGGGCGAUCAAGGACAUGUAUGAGGGAGCCAAGACCAGGGUAAGGACAGUGGGAGGAGACUUGGAGCACUUUCCAGUGGAGAUGGGGUUGCACCAGGGAUCAACUCUUAGCCCAUUUUUAUUUGCUCUAGUGAUGGAUUGUCUGACGCGGCGAAUUCAAGGUGAGGUGCCAUGGUGUAUGUUAUUUGCGGAUGACAUAGUCUUGAUCGACGAGACACGCAGCGGAGUGAACGCUAAGCUGGAGGUUUAGAGACAAACUCUGGAGUCUAAAGGGUUCAAGUUGAGUAGGACCAAGACAGAGUACAUGGAGUGCAAGUUCAGUGACAUGACACAUGAGCCUGGCGUGGAAGUAAGGCUUGGUACCCAGGGCAUCCCAAAGAAAAGAAGUUUCAAAUAUCUCGGGUCUAUUAUACAAGAAAAUGGGGAUAUUGAUAAUGAUGUCUCACAUCGUAUUGGCGCAGGGUGGAUGAAAUGGAGACUUGCUUCAAGAGUGAUGUGUGAUAAGAAGGUGCCACCAAAACAUAAAGGCAGGUUCAACAAAGUGGUUGUGAGACCGACCUUGUUGUACGGUGCAGAGUGUUGGGCAGUCAAAAGCUCUCACGUCCAAAAGAUGAAAGUUGCGGAAAUGAGAAUGUUGCGACGGAUGUGUGGGCACACCAGGCGAGAUAGGAUUAGGAAUGAAGAUAUCCGGGAUAAGGUUGGAGUAGCAUCAGUGGAAGACAAGAUGAGGGAAGCGAGGCUGAGAUUGUUUGGGCAUGUGAGGAGGAGAGGCACAGAUGCCCCAGUGCGGAGGUGUGAGAGGUUAGCUAUGGAUGGUUUCAAAAGAGGUAGGGGUAGGCCGAAAAAGUAUUGGGGAGAGGUGCUGAGACAGGACAUGGCGCAGGUUCAGCUUACCGAGGACAUGACCUUAGAUAGGAGGUUUUGGAGGACUCAGAUUAGGGUAGAAGGCUAGUAGGUAGUCGUUGUUUCGAUCUAUAGUCUAUUGUCCUUUGUUUCUUGCUACUAUAUGUGGUUUCUUGUACUUCGAUUAUCUUAUUUAUCGGUGGUAACUACUGCUUUUUUUUUUCAGACUGCUCUAUUUUGACUUAUUCACUUUCUUUAGUUUCAUUUGCAUUUUGCUUUGAACUGCUUGUGCUUAUCUAACCUUUCUCAUUGUGAUUUCUCUUGAGCCGAAGGUCUUUCGGAAACAACCUCCUUAUAUUCCGAGAUAGGGGUAUGGUCUGCGUACACUUUACCCUCCCCAGACCUUACAUUGUGGGAUUUCACUGGGAAUAGAUUACUUAUCGGUUGCAGCUCCAGAGCAACUGAUUCCCAUUGAAGUAGAAAUAGACUCCACAGAGGUCCUUCACCUGUACAACAUUCACAAUCUACUUACCAAACUCUUAUUACUUCAUGGGGCUGCUUGUUGAAGAGAUUAGAGAGUCUAGUGUACGACAAACUUCCGCCGGGGCAACAAAGUUGUAGAUGUUUUGGCAAAGCAAGGCAAAAGUCCAAGUAGACAAGGAUGGUUGGAAUUUAGUAAAUGAUUAUGUCUAUUUAUGUGUAAUAAGUUGGCUAGUCUUGAAAGAAUGUGUAAUCACAAGCAGAGACUGCGAUAAUGUAACUUCGACUACUGAUAUAAUGCUAUAAUAUUAGUAUACAUCUUGUUAUCAAGAAAAAAAACCAA